rnacentral:lncRNA from 1 species
CUUCUGUAGCAUUCAUGAAUAUGUACACCUCAAUCAGUUUGUAAUCUUGCAGCACAUAUCAACCCUUCAGACUGUUUAUCAAAGUUAUAUUAACUGUGGUAAGGCCUGAAUUAUAUAAGUUCUUCCAAAUACACCAUAAACUCCAUGAAAGCUGGAGACAAAUGUACAGUAAUGUUUAGUCUUACAUUUUUCUCAUAACAUUUAGAUGUCAAUAAAAUGAUUACUAAAAAAAAAAAACUAACAUAAUUUAGCCAAUUUCACGAGAAAAAAAUAAAUGUAUCUUAAAAUCAUGUUUUUCCCCACUUUCUGCAUGAUAUUUUUUCUUUCAUACAAUUUGUCAUUCUUUUGUCAUUCCAUGUAGAGUAACAAUCUCUUAUAUACCCAGAAUAUCAGUUUCACAGUAAUGAUUCUGUAAUUUAGAGUGGUCAUCAUCUUCCUUAACCAAAGUAUGUGUAUUUAAGGAUAAAUUCCACUUGUAUUAAUAUAAAUGUAAUGGCAGUAUAUUGAAAUGCAUAAAGCUUUUCUUAUAUUUAAGACUUUUUUCUUGGGCUAGAUUCCCAGCAUUGUAAUUACCAAAGCUGAAAGGGCAUGUUGGCAUAUUGAAAUAGAAUGAUUUUCGGAGUAUGUAAAAUGCUUCCUGAAUGCACCUCAUGUGUGAUAGUAAUAAGGCAUCUAGGGUUUAUAAUUACAGUAUUUUGUCAUAGGAAACGUGGAAAUACUUUAUUAGAGAAAUUACAUUUUUAAAAAAUUAUAUUUUAUUGCUAUACUUUCUUGUAUCUGAAUAAAGAAUUUUUGAUUGUAGUAUUUACAACAGCAGUUCAUUCAAAGGAGAACCAUUCAUGCUUACCGUUAUAUGCAAUCAUGAAGUGAAUAGCCAUUUAGCUUCCUGACAUGGUGUCUCAUGUAUUGUUUCUUUUUAUACUACAUCAAAGUUUAGAUGGGAAGGAAUUUGCUAAAUUUGGGGACUCAAUACUUGCAUACUUGAAGUUUACAUUUUUGUCUCCAAUUAAUUUCUGUUCUUUGAGCUCAUCCUUAGUGUAUCAGUAUAAAUGAGUGGUGGGAAAAAAGAAACAUUCCAGGUGUAAAGAGCAGAAAUGGAGUUAAUAUAGGAAAGUUUAAGACUUAAAAAAUCAACAGAU